UAUCAUAAUUGUUACAGAACAUCUCUUUAAAAAAUAUUUUGGAAACCGGCUUUAGAUUCCGAUUUUCACACAUCCCUUUAGAGCAUACAGAAGCGCGUCAUCAAUAUAAAUUCAGGAGAUAGUAUUAUACACAAACAAUACAUACUCAUAGACGUUUCACGACCAUGUUAAUCUUUCGGAUCGAAUUAACGCCAUCUCUUGAUUGGAAUGGGAACUAAAUUGACAAAUUUUAGUUACGUGGGAAUUUCAAAUUAUAAAUUUUGCGGGAUUUUUAUGAAAUUUCGCAGGAAAUUAAAACAACAGAGAGAAAAUUCAAUGUUGUAUUCAAUAUUUUACUGAAAACUUCAAAUAUUGAAAUGAAAGCACUGAUGUGUAAUAUUAAGUUGAAUGAAAAUUUUUGAAAGAAUCUUGUAGGAUGAUUGGUUAGAUAAAUAUUACCUUAUAAUCUUUUACAAACUUCCAAAAAUAUAUAGGCCCGAAAUGUUGAUGGCACACUUGUCUAUUGGAAUAAACUGUUUCAGGAUCUAUUAUUGGGAUAAACCGUAAUCGUACCCCCUCCUAACUGCCAAAGUGUCAUGGCCGCCGUCGGGACCUAUUGUGCUGACAUUUACAAUGUUUACAUAUAGAAAAGUUUGUUUUUUUUCUGCUUAUAAUGCCGUUUUCUAAAGAUAUUAGUGAACAAAAUCGAUUUGCUAACAAUAUUUAAUAUAUUUUAAAUGUGCUAAAAUUGGAUUCAACAGCAAAAGUCGCAUAAAUAACAUAUAAAUAACGAAUUUGUUUACCUAUUACAAAUGGGGUUAUGUGGUUGUAACUGUUUAUUUUGGGAAUAAAAUGAAAAUGAUCAAUUAAACGACUGGAAAACUAUAGUAAAGUGAAGAACAUCGUGAAGUUCCAAUGAUGUUUCAAGAUGAGAUAAAUCGAAAUAAUGGUUGUAUGUUAGAAGGACAGAGAAUACGAAGAAAUGUUAUUGCUGCAUACUUAGUGUAGUGAAAUACAAACUUCAAACAUUAUAAUAUAUUUUUUUAUUUCAAACAUUUCAUAUGAUUAUGAAAGAACAUCUUCCUCUUUAAAACAAUGAAGAAGUGAAGAACAUAAUAAAGUUCCAACGAAAAUGAUUCCAGAUGAGGAAAAUCGAAAUAAUGGUUGUAUGUUACGUGUAUAGAGAAUACGAAGAAAUGUUAUUGCUGCAAACUUAGUGUAGUGAAUUAAAAACUUAUUGUCAAAUACAAAUCAAUUUAUUUCAUACUUUUAUAAUAUAUAGUGGUACAAUUUUAUAUGUGUUCAAAUAAAAAUAUUAAUAAAUAAAAUACAAUAAACACAAA